GGUGCCCAGCAGCAGCUGAUGUAGUGUCCCUGGUAUUGAAAAGGGUACAUGUGUUACCUGAAUGGAAAACCAAUAAAAAUGAUUCUGGCCUCUGUAAUAUGAUAAAUUUGACUCAGUCACGUCAAAAAGAGUUGGGGAAAUUGCCCCGUAUAAUGUCUGUCAGUCUUGAUGAAAGUUGAAUGAAAAUGGAUCGAAAAACCAAAGCAUUUGACAACAUACAGUACUGAGAUGGAGAUAUUUAUACAGAAAAUGGCGACAGGAUGUGAUAUGGCAGGAAAUGACACCAAAACUGUAGGCCGGAAGUGAUAUCAUCAUGGCAGAACCAGAAGUGAUGUCAUCAAGAUGGGGCCAAAAGUGACGUCAUUGUGGCGAGGCCGUAAGUGACAUCAUCACUAGGAGCCGGAAGUGACAUCAUCAUGGUGGGAAUGGAAGUGACGUCUCCUUUUGGAGCUGGAAAAGGAAUUGAUGUAGAAUGGCCAUUUUGAGAAUCCAGAAGAUGGUGGAGUGUGAAGUGAGAAGACCCCCGGAGAGAGCAACUGAUUCCUCCCCUUCUGGUCUUCUGGCUUUAAAGCCCACCGCUGCCAGAGAGAGACAGUCAGUUUUGACUUGACUGAGCAGGAGGACAGAGUUCCUUAAAGAAUUUUGCCACAGCGGAUUGAAUUAUAUUGUUUUGCAAGUGCUUGUAACAGAGGUGUGCAUAGCGGCCCUAUUUGCUUCAUUCUGGGACUGAAAUUAAAUGGGGACAAUUGGCUUGACACCCCAAUACUUAUUUUGGAGCUUGCAGUACCUUAUUUUAGAGACAGUCAUACCCAUACAUGGGUGGCAAAAAUAUUUCAUAUCAUUUUGCUGGCAUCACUAUUUUCAACUCGUAUCUGCUGAGACCAAGCUUCACAUUCACCUUUUUAAAUUAGUUACUCAAGAUUUGAACGUUCAUUGUAGCAUUUCAGAGCAGCAUUAUGCAGUGGUUAGUAUUCAACAAAAUGCACAAUUACUGAAUGUUCUUGCAAGCAUAAUGUCACAUGUAUUUAUUGAAACUUUCAUUUUCUGAAUUUUUUUUUUAGUAUAGGAGUCCAUCUCUGUGUUCUGGACAAAUGAAUUAAAGAAAGAGUUGUUUGGUCACUUUAACAGUAGACAAAUUUGGUGCAAACCAAAUACAACAUUUCAGGAGAAGAACCUCAUACCAACUGUGAAGCAUGGCGAUGGAAAUGUUACGGUUUGGACUUGCUUUGCUGCUUCAGGGCCAGGAGAACCUGCAGUCAUCGAGUUAAUUAUGAAUUUAGAAUUAUAGCAAAGUCUGCUUGAAGAGAAUAUGAGACCAUCUGUCUGAAAGUUGAUGUUGAACUGUAGAUGGACCAUGAUGAUCCAAAGCACACUAGCAAAUCCUCAAAGGAAUGGCUCAAAAAGAAGAAAUGGUGAGUGAGGACAGGUGCAGGGUUGACUGGCCGCCAGAGGAAUAUUUAGGUCGCCAACCAGUUAUCCCGUCUAAUAAACAACUGAAAAAUAAACAAAAGAUACACUGCUUGGGCGUUGUUUCCCUUGACUCUGGGCUGUAAAACACAGUAAAAUAAAGCUGUGGGUUAAGGGCUAAUUUACUUUGGAAUUCAUCUAGCCAGUCGCUCCUGCCAA